AUCUUGGUGCCUCCUAAAUACAGCAUAAAAAUCGAGCAGAGGAGAUAGACUUUGGAGACAAAACACACCAACUAAAACGUAUCAUCAUGCCCAAACAUAUUACCAGAAACACUGGAAUAAGAUCAACAAUAGGUAUUAGAAAACUUUUGAAACUGUAUCAUAAGAACAACACCCAAAAGCCCAAGGUGUCCCUUUCCUCUCAGCAAUCCCAGGGCAAUCAAGGGAAACUACUUCCUCUUGAUACUCAGGCUGAAAACAGUGGUUCAAAUAAGAUUAAUUCAAACAAUUUUUGAACAGGUUUAUGCUAGCCAUCUUAAACUGUGAUAGCAAUGGAGAGAACCGUACCACUUGAGAGGUCAACGACAUUGUGACACGGUGGUGCCAGCCCCAGUCACUCCUUGCAGCACAUGGUGCCCUCCCUCUCACACCACGCCACUGCUGCACUCUUACCUUACCAGUGGCCACAGCCCUUGCCGGAUUCUGGAAGUUUCAGCAUCAAAAGAAAGCACAGCCCAAACCGCUGUUCACUUCACCUCGCUCUCCCUGCAGACAGCAUAGCACCCCACAGCCAGGUAGUGCCAGUGCUGGAAGCUUCCUGAAAGUGGGCGGCAACAGCGGUGGCACAGCCCAGCCUUGCCUCACAAAGGCCCCACAUGCUGUCCCUGUGCUGUGACUGCCCCGCUGCUGGCAGGUGUUAUCAUGGCUUCUGCAAGCGGCUUGUGCGGGACUUGUGCACAGGGACGGAUGGUAGAGCGGCAGGGCCCCACCUCACCUGCCUCUCUCGGCCAACUGAGCACCACAACCUCAAGUUCAGCCAUCUACCUACUGUGAUCCCAAAGACCUUGUGUUUUAUUUAUCCUGGACAAUCUGUCAUGAAAAUACCAGGAGACAGAAACAUACCUCUGUGCAGUCCCUUCAAUUGUUCACUGCAGACACAAAGGAUAGAGCAAAGUUGCAAACCUAUUGGAGAUCCUGAAGGAGUAUCAUUGCCUAUGACUCCCUCUAGUGAUUCUGCUAUGUGAAAUACAGCCAUCGACAGAUAACAGCCAUAUGAAGUCACCCCGAAUUCUUCACUAGAUACAUUCUUCAAGUCUAGAAUAAAGUUUUUUUCAUAAUGGCA
rnacentral:lncRNA from 1 species